UACAGAGGUCCCAAGCGUUGUUCGGAUUCACUGGGCGUAAAGGGUGCGCAGGUGGUCGGGUAAGUCUGACGUGAAAUCCCGCAGCUUAACUGCGGAAUGGCAUUGGAUACUAUUCGGCUAGAGGGUUGGAGGGGGGACUGGAAUUCUCGGUGUAGCAGUGAAAUGCGUAGAUAUCGGGAGGAACACCAGUGGCGAAGGCGGCGACCUGGACCGAUACUGACGCUGAUGUGCGAAAGCGUGGGGAGCAAACAGG
rnacentral:rRNA from 1 species